GACGUAGGGAGCAAGCGUUGUCCGGAAUUACUGGGCGUAAAGAGCUCGUAGGCGGGACCGUAAGUCCGAGAGGAAAUCUCAAGGCUCAACUUUGGGGCUUUCUUGGAUACUGCGGUUCUUGAGGAUGAGAGAGGUAAGUAGAAUUCCCGGUGUAGCGGUGAAAUGCGUAGAUAUCGGGAGGAAUACCAGUGGCGAAGGCGGCUUACUGGCUCAUUCCUGACGCUGAGGAGCGAAAGCGUGGGGAGCAAACAGG
rnacentral:rRNA from 1 species